rnacentral:rRNA from 1 species
UAAUACGGGGGGAGCAAGCGUUGUUCGGAUUUACUGGGCGUAAAGGGCGCGUAGGCGGCAUGACAAGUCACUUGUGAAAUCUCCGGGCUUAACUCGGAACGGCCAAGUGAUACUGUCGCGCUAGAGUGCAGAAGGGGCAAUCGGAAUUCUUGGUGUAGCGGUGAAAUGCGUAGAUAUCAAGAGGAACACCUGAGGUGAAGACGGGUUGCUGGGCUGACACUGACGCUGAGGCGCGAAAGCUAGGGUAGCAAACGGG